AUGCUCAACAUUUGUAGAAACAGAUUUUGCAGCAAUUUUAUAUUACCACUGUUUAUUUCACUCAGAUUUCGCGGGUACGAAACAGAGAAAUGUAAAAAUCUAGCAAAGAAAAUCUAUCACGAUACAAUAUUUCAGAAGAAGUUUUUUUGCAUAAGGUUUUACAACUACAAAAUACAUGAUUGUGUGCCUACAACGUAUCUGCGACUUGCCGUGCAGGCAGCUUAAGGGCACGUCAUCAGGCGUACGUGCCUGUCGCAUGCCUGCAUAGGUACAUGCAGGCACGUACUCGUGUAGGCAGGAGUAGACAAGAUUAGGUGCUCGUGUUGGCAAGAGGGAGGAGUAUUCGAAAUCCCGAAACAGUUCGACAAUUUCACAGUGUUAGCUGACAAAUUUCGAGCAUAUAAAGAAGAUCAUUUUGGGUAUAUUACGACACUUUUCAUCUGUGCGUACCUUUACAAACAGACAUUUGCCAUCCCCGGAUCGUUCUUAUUGAAUGUGAUUGCCGGAGUUGUGUACGAUUUGUGGUCGGGAUUCAUCCUUUGCUGUUGCCUAACGACCCUCGGAAGUACGCUCUGCUACAUGUUCUCAGAACUAUUUGGAAGAGAAUACGUGUUUUACUACUUUGGACAAAAAUUAACAUAUCUUCAACAAAAAAUCGACGACAAUUCGAAUCGGUUAUUACCGUUUUUAUUAUUUGCUCGAAUGUUUCCUAUUUCACCAUCAUGGCUUCUUAACAUCGUCGCUCCUUUCCUCAACAUUCCACUUCCAAUAUUCGUCGUCUCAGCACUUUUUGGUCUGGCGCCGUACAAUUUCAUUUGUGUUCAAGCAGGGUACAUUUUAAGAGAUUUGCGGUCUUGGGACGAUGUGUUCAGCACGACAACAAUGCUGAAACUUUUUUCAUUUGCAUUGAUACCACUCGCCUACGCAAUCUACAUUCGCCCUCGUGCCAAUAAACACCAGUUGGUAUCAAGCUCCGACGAGAUGGACGAGAAAGUCAAAAAGAUGGAAAUUGUAUAA
rnacentral:misc_RNA from 1 species